rnacentral:snRNA from 1 species
UAAAAGGGUGCUUGCUUCAUGGCAUAUAGGGUCUUUGGCCCUGUAGAGUAUGGCUAUCAAGACAUACUCAGCACAUAAUUUUGGACUGAGAGGCAGUUAGGUGUCUAAGAACUCUGGCGCCUCU